AUGAGGCUCUUGGUGCCAGCGCUGCUCUUCUGUGUGUUCACUGAUGUGCGCUGUGAAGACCUCAGUCCAGUCAACGAUGAGCACAAUGAGUCCACUUUGGAAGGCAACACUGUUUCUCUGUCCUACAAGUACCCAAAACUUUUAGCUACCGAUUAUUUCUUCUGGUAUCGACAAUAUCCGGGAAAACCACCUGAGUUUCUCAUCUCACACUCAGCAUUGGGAGUGGUAGUAAAUAAUCCAGUUUCUGGACUGAAGGUCAAAGUGGAGGAAAAACAGAUCCAUAUGAGCAUCUCCACUGCGGCAGUGGCAGAUUCUGCUGUGUACUACUGCGCCGUGAAGCCCACAGUGACUGGAAACCCUCAUUCCCUGUACAAAAACCUGACAAGUGCUUAA